UCCCACCUCAAGGAAAUGGUCUUUAUUGACCAUUUCUAAUCGAAUAUUAGCUUAUUUCACCCUGCGUCAGAGGAUGAUUACUAGCUAGUUUACAUUAGAAUUAAAUAUCAUAGGUUACCUAAAAUACAUCAGAUGAGACAAACGAUAAAGGGGAAUUUUAAUAGGCCAAUGGACCUAUAAAAUAAAAUAAAUUUGACAGUAAGCCACGCAUGCACACAGUUAACAAAACAAGGGCUUAAAUUUGUUUUAACGGACAUCUAUUUUUUAAUCCACUGUUUUACGCAUGCGUCACCGUGCAUCUCUUCGUCAACGGCUCCCUGUCCGCUCUGAAUUACGUUCAGGGAUUAUUUAUUUUUAGCUCUGGCGUGUGUCUGCAUAUCGGGGUCUAGCUAGCUGAUACAUCCAGAUGGUUUUGUUAAGGUGCAUGUUUACGGAUUCCUGGAGAUUGUGAGUAAGGAGCGAGGCUGCACCGGUCUGUCCUUCAUUAAGAGCCAGCCAGAGCAGAGAGGUAUUUAUCACGACAGACUGAGCUUUCAUAACCCGGUGUUCACACACACACAGACACACACACACAGCACUGUAACCGAUAUAAAAGAGGUUAAGUGCUCUCAUAUUAAACUGCUAAAAUGUCAGAGGUAAGCUAACACCUGUUAGGACAAACUCAGACAACGCAAUAUGCUAGAGCAGUUAGCUGCUACAGAAAUUAUUUAUUUUUAUGGCAUGUAAAAAAAACUUUGUCAUAGCAAUAACAGCUACACAAAUAAAUAUGAAAGUAAGUAAAUGUCUAAACAUAAAAAAAACUGAGUGAACUUGGAAUUUUCAUAUACUGUAGGUUAUCUGUUGUGGGCCUUGGCAGCCUUUGUGGUUGUUCUGGGUCAGAUUUGAACUAAGUGCUUCCAGUUUCUAAAAACUACAGUAAGAAAGUAAUACACAGCAUGUGUUGCAACAGAAAUUUUUUUAUGAUAAAUCAACCAUAGGGGAGCUAUGUCCAAAUGUAAUUUAACAAAGGGUGCAGGACUUGUCAUUGUUACUUUGUCUACAAUGUCAAACAUGAAGGUUUUUUGGUUUGAAGAUCACCAGGGGGUUAAUUGAGUAGUUUAAUAUGUCAGGAGCUUUCCAGCAGUGAAAUGAAUGGAAAUCUAUUCAAUGCUUUUUGCUCUUACAACAGUGUGGAAAAUAAUUCAUACAGUAAAACUGCAAGAAAAACAAUACAGCUUAGCAACUGCUAUGAAAAAGUCAUAUUUCCUUACAUUACGGCUCAUCUGCAUGUUGUGGAUGUGGAUACUGACUUGCUGCUACACUCACUUUACGGGCUCCAGUGUGCUCCAUGACGCCUCAUGCGAGGUCAGACAGAGGACAGCAACCCCACUUCCCAUUUCCCUUCGAAACCUCAACCCCCAAUGCUACAGCAGGCCGGCUUAAGCUUCCCAGAAUGCACCUCUACAGCCCAGCCGGCUGACCCAGGGGUCGGCAGCUGUCAGUCACGUCCUCAGCUGGCUCUGCAUCUUCUGGACAUAGACUGGAGGAUGUGAGGGAGGCCUCUGAGAGGAGCCCUGGCUCUGCUUAUGGGAUCAUCUCUGUGCAUUCACAGCGGGUAAUUAAAUUAGCUAUCCUUCUUCUAUUCUAAUGCAAACCUCAGGUUGAAUCGCCACCCUGUACGUGAGAGGAAAGGCCCCAGGCAGUGAUAGCCAGACAAAGGCAACCAGCUUGUAUGAAGUACAGAGUUGUAGUUCAUACAAGCUAGCUGUCUGUGCUCAUGUGGCAGCUUGAUCUUAGUAACGUCUCCAUCUUUGUGCUGUUGGACGAUCACAGAUUUUCAGUGGAAAAGGUCAGCUCUUUGUUUACUCUCUACACCCAUGACAGACAUCAUUCACUGCAAUGAUAUCACGAAAUUAUUAUUGAAAAUUUUAAAAUGUUAUUUUUUGUUAUAAAGAUUAGUGCCCAGUCACUUAGUUCAUUUCAUUACAGUUGUGUCUGUGCAUGCAAGCAUGUGUCUAAGUUGUGUGUGUGUGUGUGUAUGGCAGAGGAUGUAAGGUGUAACAGGGUGUGUCAAAGCCCUGCAGACUGACAGCUAGGCCAGGAGGAUGUAGUAGAGGAAGGGGUGGAAGUGGCUCUCUAGCCUGAGGGCUGCAGAGUGCGCGGUGAGAGUGCAGGGUCACCUUUAUCCACGCUGUCUGUGCCCAGAGCGGCGGGGGGAGACCUGGGAGUCCCAACAGGCUGAACUGAUUUCCUGUGCAGGGUCAUGCCCAGGACAGGCUAGGGGGACAAGGGUUUAGGACCAUAGGGAGCAACGAGCGGAGCAGCAUGGUAUGGACAGCGGGUUGUUGCCAUUUGCUGCCAUUUUCCUGCUUUUAACCAUGCACCACUUCUUUUCCUGCGAGUGUGUGAAGAUAAAAUGCACACUUUUCUGUCUGAGACAAGAACAGUUGCCAGUUCCUGCACCUCUCUCAUAUUAUUUAAAUUCUAAUGCAGAGCUCAAAAUGGAUUCAAAUGGGGCUUAUGAGGCCUCUCAGCCCAAAUGGAUCUCAUGUUUACACACUUGUCCAUCAGCUAAGCAGUGUGCAGCCUCAGGUACCCAGAGAGAUGGUGAGAUGUCCCCAAAAGCAAUGGUACCGUGCCUGAACCUGGUAAGUGCUCUGUGUUUAGACAAGGUUUGUCUAGAUCGGAGAUAACAUGUCAGUAUCAAAAGCCUUUUAUCUUAAUGCUGAGUCUAACUCCUUCUGAGGGUAUUCAGUCAUUUUUGAGCUGCAUGGUAAAAUAUUAAUAACACGUUUUGUGCUCUGUGCCACAGGCAAAACAUAUUCUUCUGUCUUUACUUUUAUUAUUAUUAUUUUUGUUUUAUUGACUCUAAACAGGCAAGUGAAUUAAUUAAAACUGUGUUUGACUCUAAGCACAUGUUAUGACAAUCAUAACUAUUGUUUUGUUGUUUCCAUCAUUUCUAAAUGACAUUUCUGUAUUGUUCAGUACAAGCACAGGAAAUGAGCGGCCAUAGUUUAGAGUUGAACGACAAGGAAACGGCGGGCUGAAUGACUGCAGUUCACACACGCAUCGGUGGCCUGAUGUGCACUAACAGAAUGAGUGUUUUGUAUUUAAUCUGAUUGAGAGCAUUAAUGAUAGCCCACCGAUAUAUAACAGCCUGUCGGUUUUUGUUUGUUUGUUCGUUUUGCUUUCGAGAUGUUGCGUUAUUCUCAAAAUUUCCGGUCGAAUAAUCGUUUUGUUUAAAAUGAUAAGUAGUGUUGCAGCUCUUCGUUCAAAAUUAAUAUCAGCCCAUUUAGACAGCAGCCUCCUACAACUCACGAAGUUAACUGUAUAGGCCCGACUUUAAAUGAAUUAAAUGCAGGAGAAAUGACAUGUUUUAGGCUACAUUUGUGUUGACUGCAGACGCAUUUUCAUCGAAAAUUGUAGGCCUGUUCGUUCAGGCUUUAUCUCAAAAAUCAAAAAAGAAACAUGACGGGGAGAGGACAGUUAAAUGAGAGAAAGUGAAGCUUUCAGGUUUGGUUUAUAUCGACUAUCAUUUUUAAUGAUUAUGUUGGCGAAUGGAUUUGUGUGUAGUUUACUGGCCUCAUUUAUUUGACUUCGUCAGUGUUUUGAACCGAUUUCUACGUGUUUUAUAAUUGCAUCAGUCUUUCUGACUUCUUCGUUUUUUUGUUGUUGGUUUUUUUUUUUACAUUAGCCCUUUUUAUCGGUUAGAAAUGUGUUUUGUUAGGCAUGUUAAUUUUGUGACAUGUAGGCAGUCAGGGUCUUUUGUCUGAUGAUUUAGCGGUAGAAAACCUAGAAAUUUUUUUGCCAGUGUCCCACAAUAAUGCAUCGAAAUCUAAGCUAAUGGAAAAAUACAGAUUCGGGUAUGAGCUGUUUAAUAGAUUGAACACUACUGGGCGUGCAGAGAUCAUCAGUGAAGGAAAAGGAAGAAAGUCUCAGUCUGACAACGCAGUCUUUAUGAAAAGGUUUAAGCCCAGUCGUUAUGCCCGACUGUGCAGAACUAAAUUAAGUAGAAUAAAAUUAAAUGAAAUAGCCUAGAUAUGUGGAAAAUGUAAAAAUAAAUACAUAAAACAAUUAACGUUAUCAUGAAAGCCUUCAGUAAAAAAGGAGUGCGUUUUAAGUCGUUUUUUCUGGGCUGUUGUGUGUGUCUGCUGUCUGCUUCUCCUGUCCUG